rnacentral:tRNA from 1 species
GCCGCCUUAGCUCAGUUGGUUAGAGCGCCAGAUUGUGGCUCUGGAGGUCUCCCGUUCGAUCCGGGAAGGCGGUACCA